rnacentral:rRNA from 1 species
UUCGCAAUGCCCGAAAGGGUGACGAAGCGACGCCGCGUGCGGGAAGAAGGCCUUCGGGUUGUAAACCGCUGUCGGGAGUUAAGAAAUGCAAGGGUGUUAACAGCGUCCUUGCUUGACUAAGGCUCCGGAGGAAGCCACGGCUAACUCUGUGCCAGCAGCCGCGGUAAUACAGAGGCGGCAAGCGUUGUUCGGAAUUAUUGGGCGUAAAGAGCACGUAGGCGGCUGUGUAAGUCGGUUGUGAAAGCCUUCCGCUCAACGGGAGAACGGCAUCCGAUACUGCAUGGCUUGAGUGCGGGAGGGGGGAGUGGAACUUCUGGUGGAGCGGUGAAAUGCGUAGAUAUCAGAAGGAACACCGGCGGCGAAGGCGACUCUCUGGCCCGUAACUGACGCUGAGUGUGCGAAAGCUAGGGGAGCAAACGGGAUUAGAUACCCCGGUAGUCCUAGCCGUAAACGAUGGGCACUAAGUAGAGGGGUUUUA